rnacentral:rRNA from 1 species
AUGGCUCAAGGGGUGGCUGCGGGCGGAGGAUCAAGCACGGCUGCGGGCGCCGGAGCAAGCACCGCGGCGGACGGCGGCCAAGGCGGGGCUGGGGAUGGCUUGUCGGUGAGGUCCGCUGCUGGCGGCCAUGGCGCGGCUAUGCAGCACUUGCCGAUGAGCUCAGCUGCGGGCGCAGGCCAUGGCGAUGUUGCGGGCGGUGCAGGCCAUGGCGAUGCUGCAAGGUUGGGCGUGGAUGCAAGCUUGGGCCACGGUGCGGCUGCAGACUUAGAAGGGAUGGAUCCAAAUUCUUGUUAUGUACUGAAAAUUAGAUUGCUUGGCAACCCAAAAAAAGCUAGAAAAGAGCCCAUGUGCUUUUAUUUCGAGAAGGUUAUUGAUUCCGACUUGACAAAUUAUGAAGAUUUGGUUGAAUCAAUUAUAGUGCAGUACCAGCCACGUUAUUUGGAAGUUGUGCAUGUUCACUACUAUGAUGAAGUUCUGAAAACGUUUCCAGAAAUAAAAUCAGACCAAGAGUUGAUGUAUAUGUUUGAGAAACAUGCUAAGUCAAAGAUGGUGCAGAUGUUCAUUGUAUAUUGGGAACCCUCUGAACCAUAUGAGCCUAUCAUUGAGUAUUAUAGUGAUGUGCAUAUCCAACCUAAGAACAACAUAGACCAAGAUGAUGAUAGUUAUCUUCGCAACCCAAUACCGGAGAAUGAACAUGUUGGGAUUGAUGAAGAGAAUAUGUAUUUGAAGGAAGAACCUAAAGCUCUAAAUAUGGUUCUUUUUCCUGAUAAAGAAAAGGACCAAGACUAUGUUGCUGAUGGUGAGAGUGAGGAUGAGAGUGAGGAUGGGAGUGAGGAUGAGAGUAAGGAUGAGAGCGAGGACGAGACUGAAGUAGAGGAGGAUGAGGAGUUGCAUGAGGUAAAUCAUGCCCCAAAUAUAGAGUAUGAUAAGGAUGACCCUCCUAUGACUGAAGGUUUCAUAUAUCCCAAUAUGAAGGAGUUUAAGUUGGCCCUUUCUCAGCAUGCUAUCAAACAUGAAUUUGAGUAUAACACAGAGAAGAGUGCACCAUGUAGGUUCAGGGGCUAUUGUAAAAGAAGAGAUGAAGAUAAUUGUCCAUGGAGGAUACAUGCUUCUACAACGGAUGAUUUGUGUACCGUAGUGGUGAAAAAAAACCCUUUUGGUCAUGAUUGCUCUAGUGCAAGAAGGAAAAAGAAGGUGAAGAAUGCAACUAAGUACUGGAUAUGUGAGAAGGUGAAGGACUGGCUCAUUGAAGAUGCAACUCUAGGAGCAAAGGAAUUGCGAAAGAAGCUUAAAGAACACCACAAGGUCAAAAUUAACUACAAGAGAGUAUAUACGGAGCCGGGAGACGAGUUCGCUAACGAGGAGCCCGUUGAGUUUGCUUUCGAGAAUCCAGUCAACUCUGACAACUGUGCAGAGAACCACCAAAGAAAAGGACAAAGACAACCAAAACAGUUGAGUUAUCCAUUGUGCCUUGCGAAGAUGGAGUACCAACAAGAAUCUGUUUUCCCCCAAGCAAAAGCUUGGAAACUACAACCAAAAAAGGGGGAAACAUGCUAA